UGGAUCACUGAAUUUCCUUCCACAAAAUGUCAAUCAAGAAGUUUGCUUUCAUGUCUUUACAAUUUGAUAACACUAAGUUCUUAAACCUGCAUAGUAAUCCUGUAAUUACCAGAAUCACUCACUAUUAUGCAAUCCUUAUUGCUACAUUACAGCAUGUGUCAAUGUUACUAGAAGAGUAGUAACUGUUAUUAUACAGGUAUAAGAGCAGUUACUAGAAGAGUAGUAACUUAUUACAGGUAUAAGAGCAACUCGAUAUCACCUAAAGGGUUACCUCAAUUUGGUAAAAAAAUUAAGUACAGUUGAUGUAUAAAUAUAAUACAUGUAUUUAAUAGAAGGUAUUUCGAC